GUCCUUGCUUGUCUUGGUUGUCGUUGUCACAUCACAAUCGCGGGAAAGAAAGUGAUUGUGAAGUAGUUUAGUGAUGUGUUGCUAACUUUAUUAAUUAGUUUGGUUUGUUUCUGAUUACCUUUUUGCUGUGGCCCGCAAUCGAAAUACUUCAGUUUUUGGUCUUUCAGUCUUCUAUUGUUUAAUUUUGUUCAAUACUAAUACCAUUCUUCACACCAUCAACUAGAACUAAAAAGUUAGUAAGAAAAUGUCAGAAGCAAAUAAGAAAAAGGCUAGAGGGAGACCUAAACAAAUCAAAGAAGAACAGAACCAAGAUUCCAACAACGUCAGGUCUUCUAAGAGAAAAUCAGAUGUGACUGAUGAGCAGAUUGCCAACAAGAAGUGCCGUGCAGAUGUACCUAAGCUUGUCGCUGUUAGAAUCGAGCAUUGUGUUUCCUGACGAGUAUUCAAGAAGAGGGCGGAAGAGCUUGUCGCAGCUCUCCAGCCUGUUUUCCCUCAGCUUGAGUUUUCCUACAACCCAACCAAGCCUCGCCGAGGAGCUUUUGAAUUUGUGAUCCUUGAAGAUGAAGAAGAAACUGUGAUUUGGAGUGGAUUGAAACGUGGGCCUCCAAGAAAAGAAAAAUUUCCAGAACCAGAAAAACUUCUGGAGCUUUUCAAGAAACAUUUGGACAAGUAAUCAGUUGAAAAUUGUACGAAACUUUGACUUGUAGUUUUGGAUAAUUAUUAUUUUAAGUUUUCAUGUCAAAUGUGUUAUCGAUCUGCAUUGUUUUUUUCUCGACCAUCACUUUAACAGAAAAUUCAAUAUAGUUUUACAUUAGCGUAAAAGGGCCUUUAUUUAAUUGAGGUAAUAAACUUUCCUUGUGAAUCAAUACAUUAGAACAAGUAUGUUAAGAAGUAUGAGUGGUGUUCAAUUUUAGGUCUGAGAUCUUGAGAAGCAGAAUGAAAAAAAUGCAACAGUUAUGACUUGAACAUGGAUUAUUUUGUUAACUCGGUUCGAGUAAAUCUUAUUAGGUGUUUCUCUGUAUUAGAUUAGUUAGUAAAAAAUGUAAAAUCCACCCAAGAUUUAAAAACAUUGCAAUUAGCAGUUUUGCUAUGAAGAACACACUGAAGGAGUUUUACACAAACAAAUUUGUAGUUUAUUAAAUUUGUAUUUAACUUAAAAAAGUAAGUGUUGAGUUUUUCUGUAAUGGAGAGUUGUAAAGAAGUUUUCAACAUAAAAAUGUUCUGUCAUUAUUUUUAGCCUUUGGUUUGAAGCAUAACUUAUAAAUAAUCAAAGAAUUGAUGACGAUUGGUCAGAAAGGAUUCCCACUGGCCUUUCCGAUGCUUGUCUAAGAUUGUUUUUGGUUACGUUUCUUACCAAAUAACAUUUCAUAAAUGGUUUUGGGUAAUAUUUUGCCGAGCUUUUUUGGCCAAAGUGUGUGUUAAGCAAAGCUAAGUUCAACAAAAACAAUAUGACGAUUGGAUAGAAAGGUACCAACCACUAUCUUUUCUGAGGUUAGUUUUGCGUUAUUUUGGCUUUGGUUUGUACAUUCUUUUUUGGGCCUUUUUACUAAAAAAUGUAUUUUGUUCAAUUAUUUUAGGUUAUCCAUUAAGCUUUUUCUUAAGCUAAAGUUUGUGUUUAGCAGAGCUAGAUUCAACAAAAACACUGUGACGAUUGGAUAGAAAGGUACUAACCACUAUCUUUUCUGAGGUUAGUUUUGCGUUAUAUUUAGCUUUGUUUUGUACAAGCUUUACUUUUCAGAAUAUAAAUCUCGUAGGCCCACAUGACUAGAUGUAAGACUUGAAGUACAAAGCUGUCACUUCACUCCCUAAGACAUUAUGUAGUUUAGGAUUUAAGCAUUUUUAUACAAGGUCAGAUUGUUACUGUUUUCUACCUUUGUAAGCUUUUUCUUUGUGUUUUUCUACUUUUAUAAAUAAAACACUGAAAAUAAAUAUAUUUUUCA